rnacentral:tRNA from 1 species
GAUGGGGUGGCCAAGUGGUUAAGACAGUGGGCUUCUGACCCACUGUGCUGUGCGCUCGGGGUUUUGAGUCCCACUCCCGUCG